CGACGGGUAGCCGGCCUGAGAGGGUGACCGGCCACACUGGGACUGAGACACGGCCCAGACUCCUACGGGAGGCAGCAGUGGGGAAUAUUGGACAAUGGGAGAAAGCCUGAUCCAGCAACGCCGCGUGAGGGAUGACGGCCUUCGGGUUGUAAACCUCUUUCAGCGCAGACGAAGCGAAAGUGACGGUAUGCGCAGAAGAAGCACCGGCCAACUACGUGCCAGCAGCCGCGGUAAUACGUAGGGUGCGAGCGUUGUCCGGAAUUAUUGGGCGUAAAGGGCUCGUAGGCGGUCUGUCGCGUCWGGAGUGAAAACUCGGGGCUCAACCCCGAGCCUGCUUCUGAUACGGGCAGACUAGAGGUAUGCAGGGGAGAACGGAAUUCCUGGUGUAGCGGUGAAAUGCGCAGAUAUCAGGAGGAACACCGGUGGCGAAGGCGGUUCUCUGGGCAUUACCUGACGCUGAGGAGCGAAAGUGUGGGGAGCGAACAGGAUUAGAUACCCUGGUAGUCCACACCGUAAACGUUGGGCGCUAGGUGUGGGGCUCAUUCCACGAGUUCCGUGCCGCAGCUAACGCAUUAAGCGCCCCGCCUGGGGGAGUACGG
rnacentral:rRNA from 1 species